rnacentral:tRNA from 1 species
AAUGAAGUGCCUGACCUAAAAGGACUACCUUGAUAGGGUAAGCCAUGUAAAAUUUACCUUCAUUA